rnacentral:lncRNA from 1 species
CUCCUGUGUAGCACUUAAGAUUCACAAAAUAAUUCCAAAUGCUUGUCUUGAUUUAAUUCAUAGUAAACAUUCAAGGUGAGUGACAUUGGUGUGAUGUUGUUAUUCUCACUUUCUCAAGUGAGGAAACAGGACAGGUGUGGUAGAUGUGCCUGAAUUCACAUGGCCUGAAAAGAACUGAUGUUCUUUCUACAGAUCCAGUGUGAUUUCUUUCUUUUUUUUUUUUUUUGAGGUGGAGUUUCGCUCUUGUUGCCCAGGCUGGCGUGCAAUGGUGCCAUCUCAGCUCACUGCAGCCUCCACCUCCUGGGUUCAAGCAAUUCUCCUGCCUCAGCCUCUGGAGUAGUUGGGAUUACAGGCAUGGUGAUAUGCACCUGUCAUCCCAGCUACUCUGGAGGAUAAGGCAGGAGAAUUGCUUGAACCUGGGAGGCAGAGGUUGCGGUGAGCCGAGAUCGCUCCACUGCACUCCAGGCUGGGUAACAGAGUGAGACUUUGUC